AUGCACGCUGGCGGCGUGCCUAAUACAUGCAAGUCGCGCGAACAGACGAGGAGCUUGCUCCUCUGACGUUAGCGGCGGACGGGUGAGUAACACGUGGAUAACCUACCUAUAAGACUGGGAUAACUUCGGGAAACCGGAGCUAAUACCGGAUAAUAUAUUGAACCGCAUGGUUCAAUAGUGAAAGACGGUUUUGCUGUCACUUAUAGAUGGAUCCGCGCCGCAUUAGCUAGUUGGUAAGGUAACGGCUUACCAAGGCGACGAUGCGUAGCCGACCUGAGAGGGUGAUCGGCCACACUGGAACUGAGACACGGUCCAGACUCCUACGGGAGGCAGCAGUAGGGAAUCUUCCGCAAUGGGCGAAAGCCUGACGGAGCAACGCCGCGUGAGUGAUGAAGGUCUUCGGAUCGUAAAACUCUGUUAUUAGGGAAGAACAAAUGUGUAAGUAACUAUGCACGUCUUGACGGUACCUAAUCAGAAAGCCACGGCUAACUACGU
rnacentral:rRNA from 1 species